rnacentral:rRNA from 1 species
GAUGAACGCUGGCGGCGUGCCUAAUACAUGCAAGUCGAGCGAAUGGAUUAAGAGCUUGCUCUUAUGAAGUUAGCGGCGGACGGGUGAGUAACACGUGGGUAACCUGCCCAUAAGACUGGGAUAACUCCGGGAAACCGGGGCUAAUACCGGAUAAUAUUUUGAACUGCCUGGUUCAAAAUUGAAAGGCGGCUUCGGCUGUCACUUAUGGAUGGACCCGCGUCGCAUUAGCUAGUUGGUGAGGUAACGGCUCACCAAGGCAACGAUGCGUAGCCGACCUGAGAGGGUGAUCGGCCACACUGGGACUGAGACACGGCCCAGACUCCUACGGGAGGCAGCAGUAGGGAAUCUUCCGCAAUGGACGAAAGUCUGACGGAGCAACGCCGCGUGAGUGAUGAAGGCUUUCGGGUCGUAAAACUCUGUUGUUAGGGAAGAACAAGUGCUAGUUGAAUAAGCUGGCACCUUGACGGUACCUAACCAGACAGCCACGGCUAACUACGUGCCAGCCGCCGCGGUAA